GGGGGCGACACGGCUUCGACGUGGGUGUUGAAACAUAAGGAGCAUUCCGGGGCGCAUGAGGACCUCGUUAAAAAUGUGCACUUUGUAAUUGGCAACGAUUACGCACUUGCAGCUUAAUUGACUGCACGAUCACCUGAGAUUUGGUUUCGUUCUUAGAUUGAUCGUCAUUUAGAAACCUCGGCCAUCUGGGUUUUCUCCAGCAGGAUGGCUUAAAUAAAGCUGGGGGAGUGAGUCGCCUGAUUUUGUUCGUGGAAGCUGGCGGCUCAAACUAAAACACGAACUAAGAAUGUAGUGCCUUAUCGCGGAUCGCUUGCGGACGGGGGUUCAAUUCCCCCCGCCUCCACCA
rnacentral:tmRNA from 1 species